rnacentral:rRNA from 1 species
UCAAAGGAAUUGACGGGGGCCCGCACAAGCGGCGGAGCAUGUGGCUUAAUUCGAUGCAACGCGAAGAACCUUACCAAGGCUUGACAUGUGCAGAAAUCCGGCAGAGAUGCCGGGUCCGUAAGGGCUGCGCACAGGUGGUGCAUGGUUGUCGUCAGCUCGUGUCGUGAGAUGUUGGGUUAAGUCCCGCAACGAGCGCAACCCUCGUUCUAUGUUGCCAGCGCGUUAUGGCGGGGACUCAUAGGAGACUGCCGGGGUCAACUCGGAGGAAGGUGGGGAUGACGUCAAAUCAUCAUGCCCCUUAUGUCUUGGGCUGCACACAUGCUACAAUGGCCGGUACAAAGGGCUGCGAUACCGCGAGGUGGAGCGAAUCCCAAAAAGCCGGUCUCAGUUCGGAUUGGGGUCUGCAACUCGACCCCAUGAAGUCGGAGUCGCUAGUAAUCGCAGAUCAGCAACGCUGCGGUGAAUACGUUCCCGGGCCUUGUACACACCGCCCGUCACGUCAUGAAAGUCGGUAACACCCGAAGCCAGUGGCCCAACCCCUUGUGGGAGGGAGCUGUCGAAGGUGGGAUCGGCGAUUAGGACGAAGUCGUAACAAGGUAACC